rnacentral:misc_RNA from 1 species
UGUCUAUUGGUUUCCACAGAUGUUCCAUCAUCAUCUAUAGAGCUGUCUCUGAAAACUGCAUCAGUGCUUAUUUGUCUAUUGAUUUCCACAGAUGUUUCACCCUUAGCAUCCAUAGAGCUGUCUCUGAAAGCUGCAUUAGUCCUUAUUUGUCUAUUAUUUUCCACAGAAGUUUCAUCAUCACUGCUAGGUUCCUUCUGCAUUUGAUUGGUAGCAUGAGAAGAUGGUAGGUAAUUUCUGGUUCUUGAACUUGCAUCAUCAAUAAUAACUACCUCUAAUUGAGACCCUGAGAAAAAAGCACCAGAAGUACUUGCCUCACAUCUGCUUCUAUUUAUUUGUAAAUAAGCAUCCAUGCCAUUUAAAAAGGAAAAGGGCAUGGUGUUGCAAAACUUCAAAUAAAGAUCUGACAACGCAGGCUGUGAGAUCAAAGCAUCCAACAUGAAUGCAUUGUGUCCAGCUUUGCUUUUCUGAAUAUCAGCUUCAGCUCCAUUGAUUGAGAAGAGGGUCAUAGUUUUGCGUAACUUAAAACAAAAAUCAGAAUCAACAGGAUAAUUAAAAUGCCUCUUUAACCCCAGGAAGUUAAUAGGGCAUGCCAGAUUUGAUUUAUGACAGGUGGAAAUACCCCAACACUCAUUUUCAUCAUCCUUGACACUUGGUUGACUCUUUUUGCAGCAAGGAUGAGAUGAUUGAAUUUCGUUGCCUCUGAAACAGCAUUUUUCAGUCCCAAUAUUCAAGAUAGUUUGGUAUGCACAAUUUCUGAACAUCAAAAUUUUCUGCUUCACAGUGUUCAAGAAUUCUCCCCUCAUAUAGUUUGUAUCUAAAGCAAGACUACGCAAUUUUACCAGCAUUUCAUGCAGUGAUUGCAACCGGGCUUGCUCAGUUUGAAUCCAAGAACCACUGUUAGGUUGAUCAUCACUCAUGGGUUCAAAUUCCAGCUCUGAAGCAUCUGAUUUUUGAGCUCCUGAGCAAGCACCUAAGGUACGCGAAGAGGAUAAAUAACUAAAAUCGUCCCUUUCAUGGUGAUGCCUCAUUGCUUCUGGCUGUAGAAACAACUUUUGCUUGCUCACGAGAUAAUUGCGAAAUACAUUAAGCUGGGCAGACACCGUAACUGCAUAGACGAAAUCCGAAACUCCAACAAAGGGAGAAACUGCCAAGCCAAGAACAAAACCCAAUACCGCGUCUGACCGAAACAAGUCUUCUCUCCUCCUCCUCUUGCUCCGCCUCGACAAUGCAUUGCUCUGCAGCGGUGGCCGGAAAUAGCAGGGGCAUUUCAAGCUCGAAGUGACCCGUUUUGACAGCAAUUUCAAGGCAGCAUCCACCAAUUCCUCGCCUUUACAGCAGUUGUUUACUGUCCCAAUUAAUGUUUCGAAGUUCUCUUGAAAGGAGCACACCUCUGUUUCUAGGAAAUAGCGAGGAUUCUCGCCGCUGUCGAAGAAUGAAACGGCGACCCCGAGAGCGUCAACGCUCAAAAGUAGACCAGGCCACCAUUUCUUAGGGUAGACUACUCUUGCCCAUACAAUUUCUCCCCUCCUCAAUUCCAUUGUCGAUUUUGCCAUCUUCAUUUUCG